UCCCAAGUCAGAAGUCAGGUAUGCCAGAAA
rnacentral:piRNA from 1 species